rnacentral:rRNA from 1 species
UGUGUGGGGUACGGCCUACCANGNCGACGACGGGUAGCUGGUUCUGANAGGACGACCAGCCACACUGGAACUGAGAUACGGUCCAGACUCCUACGGGAGGCAGCAGUGGGGAAUAUUGCACAAUGGGCGAAAGCCUGAUGCAGCGACGCCGCGUGAGGGAUGACGGCCCUCGGGUUGUAAACCUCUUUCGGCAGGGACGAAGCGAAAGUGACGGUACCUGCAGAAGAAGUCCCGGCUAACUACGUGCCAGCAGCCGCGGUAAGACGUAGGGGACGAGCGUUGUCCGGAUUUAUUGGGCGUAAAGCGCGCGUAGGCGGCUAUGCAAGUCGGUUGUGAAAUCCCGGGGCUCAACCCCGGGACUGCGUCCGAUACUGUGUGGCUAGAGGUAGGUAGGGGAGAUCGGAAUUCCUGGUGUAGCGGUGAAAUGCGCANAUAUCAGGAGGAACACCGGUGGCGAAGGCGGAUCUCUGGGCCUUACCUGACGCUCANGCGCGAAAGCUAGGGGAGCGAACAGGAUUANAUACCCU